rnacentral:rRNA from 1 species
AGUGAACGCUGGCGGUAGGCCUAACACAUGCAAGUCGAACGGCAGCACAGUAAGAGCUUGCUCUUACGGGUGGCGAGUGGCGGACGGGUGAGGAAUACAUCGGAAUCUACUUUUUCGUGGGGGAUAACGUAGGGAAACUUACGCUAAUACCGCAUACGACCUACGGGUAAAAGCAGGGGAUCUUCGGACCUUGCGCGAUUGAAUGAGCCGAUGUCGGAUUAGCUAGUUGGCGGGGUAAAGGCCCACCAAGGCGACGAUCCGUAGCUGGUCUGAGAGGAUGAUCAGCCACACUGGAACUGGGACACGGUCCAGACUCCUACGGGAGGCAGCAGUGGGGAAUAUUGGACAAUGGGCGCAAGCCUGAUCCAGCCAUACCGCGUGGGUGAAGAAGGCCUUCGGGUUGUAAAGCCCUUUUGUUGGGAAAGAAAAGCAGCAGGUUAAUACCCCGCUGUUCUGACGGUACCCAAAGAAUAAGCACCGGCUAACUUCGUG